CCUUACCUGGCCUUGACAUACUAAGAACUUUCCAGAGAUGGAUUGGUGCCUUCGGGAACUUAGAUACAGGUGCUGCAUGGCUGUCGUCAGCUCGUGUCGUGAGAUGUUGGGUUAAGUCCCGCAACGAGCGCAACCCUUUUCCUUAUUUGCCAGCGGGUUAAGCCGGGAACUUUAAGGAUACUGCCAGUGACAAACUGGAGGAAGGCGGGGACGACGUCAAGUCAUCAUGGCCCUUACGGCCAGGGCUACACACGUGCUACAAUGGUCGGUACAAAGGGUUGCUACCUCGCGAGAGGAUGCUAAUCUCAAAAAGCCGAUCGUAGUCCGGAUCGCAGUCUGCAACUCGACUGCGUGAAGUCGGAAUCGCUAGUAAUCGCGGAUCAGAAUGCCGCGGUGAAUACGUUCCCGGGCCUUGUACACACCGCCCGUCACACCAUGGGAGUUUGUUGCACCAGAAGUAGGUAGUCUAACCGCAAGGAGGACGCUUACCACGGUGUGGCCGAUGACUGGGGUGAAGUCGUAACAAGGUAAGCGUAGAUGA
rnacentral:rRNA from 1 species